rnacentral:lncRNA from 1 species
UGCCUAGAGUCCAGGCUUCUGGAGAGGAAUAGGGCAGACCAGCUGAGGAAAUAGCAGCAGAAUUUGCUCAUGAGCUUUGACUCUGGCAGAAAGUUGAAUGUUGGAUUAAAUUCCCACGAUGAGUCCUCCAUUUUUACAGAUGAGCCAACUGAGGCUCCACCUACUGGCUGAUGUCUGGAUCGCCUAGCAGAGAACACGGGGCUCCCCUCUAUGCAGAGGGCUCAUUCUGCUGGGGCAUCCACGGCAGACACAGGACAGGAAGGGGGUCUUUCUGCCCAUCUUUGGCUAGUGGGUCCACCUCGAAGACAAGUGCCUCUUCCCACCUCCCAACCAACCUGAGAAGCUGCUCAUGUGUGACUGAAAAGAAAAAAAGACCCAGGUAGUUAUCAGAAAAGUGAUCAGCCUUAUGAAGAGCAGCUACAGCUACCAAAACACUUUGUGGAGACCUGCUCAAAGACGGGAAGAAGAUGGGAUCAGCCUAUGGCUCAAUGCUCUAAUGGAACUUCCAGAAAUGAGACACACGGUAACUGGAUAAAAUACACUGGGAGCUAGUACAAGCAGAGAGGAAGGAAUCUGAAAACCAGUGCUGUCUGAUCAUGGUUUCCUCUGUACCUGAGUUUUCUGUAAAGAGACAGAUGCUGGUGGUGCCUAAAAUACAUCCACUUUAAACAUCUUUCCAAAAUGUGUCUCUAAGUAAAGACUUUCUCAUUUAUUCUUAUUUCAUCACAGCUACUCUGAAGC